AAAAACUCCCAGUCUAAUGUGAUAAAUUCUGAAUUAUCUAAAUUAAACUGCUACUUUCUGGUACACAGUACCAAAACAAAUGUGGUGUAAAGCAAAAAUCCUACAAUAAAGUGUGGUUUAGUUUUUUUUUAUAGUUUCAAUAAGAUGCUAAAUCCAUCAUGUAAUUUUAAAAGACAGAUCUUUGUGUAGUAGAUUUUACCUGGAGAGGGGUUUUGUUUAAACGGGUGAUUUAAAUAAAAUGAAUUCCCAAGCGAGAAAUAAAAAGUAAUAGAAACUGUAGCUUAACAUGCUUCAUUUACCACGUAAACAGCACCUGUGCAGCGAAUUUCAAAUGGCUUUCAGGUGGUUCAGCUAGCUUUAGUUUUGCAGGACUUGUCAUGAUUAUGCUCUGACUGUGUGUGUGUUGAGUGUUCCGGGUGUGUCAGGUCGGGGUGAGCAGAUUUCUCAGAAGUCUUAGGGCAAAGUCCGGAACAACAAUUGGAUCCACCUGCUGUUGAUCAGGCUGCUAUUUAAGAACCAGCUCCAGUCUUUGCCGGAUCAUCUCUCUACUGCGUGGUAAUCAGGUCUUCUUUGUAAGUUAUCUUGUGGAUCCGUGCAGCUACCACCUGCUUUUUGUCUUGUCUCAGUUUUUUUCGGAUCGCUUCAACAAGCUGCAAGAGAUCCUCUGAAAAGAACUCAGGACUUCCAGCCUCGACCAAGCCUUGCCAACCUGCCUGGCGCCAAACACAACCUACACAGACAAAGACUCUUUCCAGACGCACCCUCCGCCGUCAGCUACCUCGGGAUCCAUGAAACAUUAUCAACACCCGGACCAACUCUCCCACAGAUGAACCCAAGCAUAAAAUAAAAGUUUGUUCAUCCUCA